UCCGGGGUAGCUCAGUUGGCAGAGCACUCGCCUGUUAAGCGAGCUGUCGUCGGUUCGAGCCCGACCCCCGGAG
rnacentral:tRNA from 1 species